rnacentral:lncRNA from 1 species
GUAUUAGAGCACACGUGGUCUAUGAAUUUCAGACAAAUAGGAUUCUACUUAGUUACCCUUUUUGCUGCAACAGGAGGGGCAGAUGUUGAUUGCCAGCUUACAUGCGUGCUCUGCAAGAUUGAAAACCAAAACUUGAUUGCUCAUGUUUUAACCAUGAAUUCGUUGGGACUAAAUCUUGCUCCAACGUGUCCUUAUUGACAAUUUCGGAAGCCAUUGCAUUGCAUGCCUUCCUUGAGGUCUGCGGUGAAUAGGGUAGGCAAUGUCCAUGACCACAUAUAAAAUCAAAGCAGAAGAGUCAAAAUAAAGAAUUUUUCUAUAAGGGAGAGAGAGAGAAAGAGAUUGCAGGAUGACAUAUGGAGAAAAAUUGGAAAUUUUACAGCUUACUAGUAUCCCAUCUGGGACGGCAAUGACUUUAGGCACCCUCUAACUUCUAUAGGGAAAAUGACAGAAGAGAAUCAUGCUUUCCCUUUGAAACAACUUCUCGUAUCUCUGUCCUCUC